rnacentral:rRNA from 1 species
CAGUCGAGGGGCAGCAUUUUAGUUUGCUUGCAACUAAAGGUGGCGACCGGCGCACGGGUGAGUAACACGUAUCCAACCUGCCGAUAACUCAGGGAUAGCCUUUCGAAAGAAAGAUUAAUACCUGAUGGCAUAGGAUUAUCGCAUGAUAAUCCUAUUAAAGAAUUUCGGUUAUCGAUGGGGAUGCGUUCCAUUAGGCAGUUGGUGAGGUAACGGCUCACCAAACCUUCGAUGGAUAGGGGUUCUGAGAGGAAGGUCCCCCACAUUGGAACUGAGACACGGUCCAAACUCCUACGGGAGGCAGCAGUGAGGAAUAUUGGUCAAUGGACGGGAGUCUGAACCAGCCAAGUAGCGUGAAGGAUGACUGCCCUAUGGGUUGUAAACUUCUUUUAUACGGGAAUAAAGUGAUCCACGUGUGGGUUUUUGUAUGUACCGUAUGAAUAAGGAUCGGCUAACUCCGUGCCAGCAGCCGCGGUAAUACGGAGGAUCCGAGCGUUAUCCGGAUUUAUUGGGUUUAAAGGGAGCGUAGGUGGAUUGUUAAGUCAGUUGUGAAAGUUUGCGGCUCAACCGUAAAAUUGCAGUUGAUACUGGCAGUCUUGAGUACAGUAGAGGUGGGCGGAAUUCGUGGUGUAGCGGUGAAAUGCUUAGAUAUCACGAAGAACUCCGAUUGCGAAGGCAGCUCACUGGACU